rnacentral:rRNA from 1 species
AUACGGAGGUUGCAAGCGUUAAUCGGAAUUACUGGGCGUAAAGCGCGCGUAGGCGGUUAUUUAAGCUAGAUGUGAAAGCCCUGGGCUCAACCUGGGAACUGCAUUUAGAACUGGAUGGCUAGAGUACAGCAGAGGAGUGUGGAAUUUCAGGUGUAGCGGUGAAAUGCGUAGAUAUCUGAAGGAACAUCAGUGGCGAAGGCGACACUCUGGGCUGAUACUGACGCUGAGGUGCGAAAGCGUGGGGAGCAAACAGGAUUAGAAACCCCGGUAGUCC